UACCCGCGGGCUGAGGGCGGGGCUGCGGCUCCGCGGUGUGACUGUCCUGUUUCCCCCACACUCGAGGGGAUCCUCAGGGUGACCCUCCUGCACUCCUUCACACUCCAGGGGCUCCUGAGGGCGACCCUCCUGCACUCCUUCACCCUCCCGGGGCUCCUCAGGGCGACCCUCCUGCACUCCUUCACACUCCAGGGGUUCCUGAGGGCGACCCUCCUGCACUCCUUCACCCUCCCGGGGCUCCUCAGGGCGACCCUCCCGCCCUCGCAGGGCUCCUCAGGGCGACCCUGCCUCCCUCACCGUCCUGGGGGCUCCUCAGGGCACCUUUCCCGCCCUCGCAGGGCUCCUCUGGGUGACCCUCAUGCCCUCCCUCACCGUCCCGGGGCUCCUCAGGGCGACCUUCCCACACUCCCUCACGCUCCAAGGGCUCCUCAGGGCAACCCUCCCGCCCUCCUACUCCAGGGGCUCCCCAGGGCACCUCUCCCGCCCUCCUACUCCAGGGGCUCCCCAGGGCACCUCUCCCGCCCUCACGGAGCUCCUCACCCCGGCGCCGGGCUGCCCACGCAGUAGCCACAGCACAGCUGUCCCCCGGGGCCCGGCUGCGUGAGGGGAUUGAGCUGCUUGGCCGCUCCCUGCUCUGAGGGAGCCCUUCCGCUGCCCGGCGCUGUUCCCGGUCAGGAGCUGCAGGCUAGGAGGCCAAGAUUUUUCAGUCUCUGCAGGGAGAGUUGAAUUACUCUUAACUAUAUGGGCAUUGCAGAGAUGAAAGGGAAAGUGCUCCAGCUGAGACGUCUCAGUAAUGCUCCCACACCAUCUCAAAAUGCUGGCUCUACUGGCAGUAAACCUGCAGCCUCUGUUUUUGACAAACCAAUGUCACAGGAGUUUCAAGGAGGGGCAGAAGAUGAUGCAGAUGGUGAGAAACUCAGCCCCAGCUCCUCUGCUAAGGAGGCAUCAGUGCCUCUUCUUACAUGGAAAAACCUAUGCAAAUAAAUUCCCUGUGUGUGGAGACUCUGCUAUACUUUAGCCAUGAUUUCUGCAAAAGCCUUGGUUAGCAGGACAGCUGUACUAUGGACAGGACAGGUAAAUAUGGAGUGACAUCUGUGAGCUUUCUUCACUGCCAAACAGCAGAUACCUGACUUGCUGCAAAGUGGGGUCUCCGUUAAAUGAGAGCAGAACGCAGGUGGGGGUCCUGAACUGAUUUGGUCACUUGGUUUCUAAGUGAAGCUGUCUCUCCUCUGACCCAUAACAGCCAAAUCUUGAAAUGCAUUAAGCAUCUUAAUGCCUUCUACCUUCUCCAGAAAUUGGAUGCCUAUGUAUCCCUUAUUUUCUGUGCUUUACUUGCUCCUGCCGGGCAUGGAUUUGAAUUAACAACAAAGCAAAAAAGAACUUUGUGUCACGUGGUCAGUUGUCCUUGCUUUGCUACUUGACCUUUUAGCAGAUGACUCUGUCAUCCUUGUUUCCAACUGCUUGUUACAGUUCUUGUCAAAAUAUUAGUACAGGACAUGUUAUUUGCAGAGUAGGAGGGGGCAUUUGUAAAGCCCCAACAAUUAAUAUCCCUCAUAGCCAGAAGGGAAGUGGUAGAUUCAUGCAGAAGGUCAAGUCAAAAAUUUAGUGUUCUAGUUUGUGCAAGGUUCUGUCUUUUACUCUGUAAAAGGUUUGAUAUGGCUUACAAUACCACCCUCAGGAUCAACAAAAAUGGUUACCCAGCAGUGAUGGAUCUCCUGUUAGGAGUGUGGAAAUUGCAUCUAUUAAUAGCUUGAGAUUAGCUCCUGAGGGAGACCUAUUGUACAGAUUUAAUUGUAUUUCCCUCUUAAUUCAUCAGCUGCUAGUAAUUACAUUCUGCAUUUUUGCAAUGGAAAAAAUGGAUCUAAACUGGCUAUUGAGAGUGUACUUAAAUAAAUCAUAGGAGGGAGAGAAAAUUACAAUGCAAACAGUAUCAAUCUUGUAAACAAUUUCAAUUCACUACUUAGCUAUUCAUUAAUUAAAUAACAUACUCAGAAAACGCAUUCUGGAAAAUGUAGCAGCCCCUCUGAAAGCAGUGCUGGUCAGAUUAGCUUAAAGUAACUCCUCUGGCAUU